rnacentral:lncRNA from 1 species
CAGGUGAGGAAACGGCUGAGACUCAGAGAGAAGCGCCUUGCCCAAAGCUACACAGCUGAAUAGUGGUGGAGCGGGAGAAGAACCCACACCCCUGAACCCAAAUCCAGUGCUCUUUUCAUUCACACGCUCUUUGUCACCUCUUCUGACGUCAAACCUUCUUUCCACAGAAAUGAAACAUCUCUUCCGUCCAAGCAAAGGAAAAGCAGGCAGCAAAAGUUAUGGAGUAUGGCCUGAGAGCGCUCUUCCAAGCCGGCAAAUCCAGUGAUUCCUGGAGGAGACCCCAAGGAGCAUCACUCUCCCCUGGUGGCACCCCAGCUCUUAAGAUCCUGUCCAUCCCAAAAGCCAGGGGCUUCACUUGGACUUCCUUUCCUAGAAGGCUUUUCUCCCCUAGAUUGACGAAACCACCACCAUAUUCCAGGUUGUUUGAGCCAUUGGAAAUCGCUCUCCCAUCAAACUUGAAGCCUGAGGGGAACUGAGACCACUCCCCCGUUAAAGAGUGCAUUCCAGCUAGUGACCAGAUGGCUCCGUUGUUCAAUCAAACUUUUACCUUGAGAAUCUAUGAUCAAGUUCUUGCUUGGGUAGAAACUCCAUGGUGGCAGGGAUCUUGUCUUUCUUGUCGUUACUUUACCUCCAAAGUGUAGCACAUAGUAGGCUCUCCAUAAAUGUUCAUUGAGAGAAUGAAGGAAGGAAAGAUGGAAGGACGGGGGGGCGGCACCUCCCUGUCCAAAGGCAAUUGCACAGUUCUAUGGUAUUGCCCUUCAGCCACCUGUAUGGGAUUUUGACAAGUUCAACAUGAACAGCUUGCCUGCUAAGCUGGGUGCCUGGUGGGGAGGGCCCCUGGAUUCCUACCAUAAACACGCGAUUCCUCUGUGCCCCUUCGUUGAAGCCUCCUAGAGAAAAAUCAGAAAGGUCGGGCCCAAAGGGUUUACAUGCUUCCCUCCCAGUGUCCAAAACAACCACCCCCAGGAAGGGCUGGAGGCAGGAAACCCUGGCUGUUGAAGAGUUGAAUUACACGGGCCUUUUUCUUCAGUGUGUGAACCUAUGUUGAGGACUAAAUAAAAUGUGGCACUAGAAGAAAAAAUUCUGAACAUGACACAUUUUAUAGAUUUGAAGAAUUAUCAAACAGGAAGAGAGAGAAAACUUAAUUUGGCCAGCUGAGUCAAAGUAAAAUGA